UGCAGUCGAGCGGUAAGGCCCUUCGGGGUACACGAGCGGCGAACGGGUGAGUAACACGUGGGUGAUCUGCCUUGCACUUCGGGAUAAGCCUGGGAAACUGGGUCUAAUACCGGAUAUGACCACGGACUGCAUGGUUUGUGGUGGAAAGAUUUAUCGGUGCGAGAUGGGCCCGCGGCCUAUCAGCUUGUUGGUGAGGUAACGGCUCACCAAGGCGACGACGGGUAGCCGACCUGAGAGGGUGACCGGCCACACUGGGACUGAGACACGGCCCAGACUCCUACGGGAGGCAGCAGUGGGGAAUAUUGCACAAUGGGCGCAAGCCUGAUGCAGCGACGCCGCGUGCGGGAUGACGGCCUUCGGGUUGUAAACCGCUUUUGACAGGGACGAAGCGCAAGUGACUGUACCUGUAGAAUAAGGACCGGCCAACUACGUGCCAGCAGCCGCGGUAAUACGUAGGGUCCGAGCGUUGUCCGGAAUUACUUGGGCGUAAAGAGCUUGUAGGCGGUUCGUCGCGUCGUUUGUUGAAAAACUUGGGGCUCAACCUUUAAUCUUUGCAGGCUAUACGGGGCGGACUAGAGUACUUCAGGGGAGACUGGAAUUUCCUGGUGU
rnacentral:rRNA from 1 species